GCCUGGGUGGCGAAACUGGUAGACGCACAGGACUUAAAAUCCUGCGAGGGCAAUCUCGUGUCGGUUCGAUUCCGACCCUAGGCACCA
rnacentral:tRNA from 1 species